CCCUUCUAGGGGCACCUGUGACGCAGUAAAGACAGGCCCUGAUGUCACAGACUGCCAGGUGUGGCAGGAGGCUUGGCAGGCGGGAAGAAAGCUUUGUGAAAAGGAAGCCUUGUGACCUGUUGUAGGGAGAGCUCUCUGAGUGACCGAGGAGGUGAGACUUGAGCCUGUGAGCUCACACAGGCCUCAGACGCCAUCCUGACCGGAGAACCGCCGCCUCCUCCCUGCAGCUUGCAGCCCCAGCGCCCCAGGGCCUGGGCGAGGCCAGCCAAGCGGGGCGGCUAGAAGAGCCGGUUCUGUGGGGCCGCCUGACCCCAGAGGCCUGUGCGGACAGCACGAGCAGCGGGUCCAUGCCAGGAGCGGGGAGCCCCAACACCGAGCACCCAGCACCGAGCCCGGGGCCCCGGGAAGGACCUGCUCCCCCCGGGGCUCCCCCACUGCGCUGCUCUGGGGUGUUCCUCCCCUCCCCUCCAAGGCCCCCCGGGGCUCCCCUCGCCCUCUCCAAGGCCCCCCAGGGACGCCCCUCCCCCCUCUCCAAGGCCCCGAAGGCGCUGCCCCAGCUGGGAGGGCCCCUGAGCCACAGGAGCUCAAAGCUCCCAGGAACUUAGGGCUUUGUCCUAGGCGGUCUGUUUUUCAAAUAAAUUAUACCG
ensembl:lncRNA